UACAGAGGGGGCAAGCGUUAUUCGGAAUUAUUGGGCGUAAAGGGCGCGUAGGCGGCUUGGCAAGUGGAAGGUGAAAUCCCUCGGCUUAACCGAGGAACUGCCCUCCAAACUGCUUGGCUUGAGACCGGGAGAGGUGAGUGGAAUUCCCAGUGUAGCGGUGAAAUGCGUAGAUAUUGGGAGGAACACCAGUGGCGAAGGCGGCUCACUGGACCGGAACUGACGCUGAGGCGCGAAAGCGUGGGGAGCAAACAGG
rnacentral:rRNA from 1 species